AUGGAGGCGCGGCAUAUGUGGAAAGCCAUGGAAACUGGCGAUGUCGAGUACGAGGAGGACCGGCUGGCGAUGGAGGCGAUCUUGCACUCUGUCCCAGCAGAGAUGGCGCUCACCCUUGGCGCCAAGAAGAUGGCAAAGGAAGCAUGCGACACCAUCAAGACUCUGCGCAUCGGCGUGGAGCGCGUACGGGAGUCGAAGGCCCAGACCUUGCACCUCGAGUACGAGGAGAUCCGGUUCAAGGCCGGUGAACAAGUCGACGGCUUCGCCUUGCGGCUACAAGGUCUCGUCACUGAGCUCGCAACGCUCGGAGAUCCCAUGGACAAAAAGAUGGUGAUUCUCAAGUUUCUCCGCGCCGUCCCCAGGCAGUACAAGGAACUGGCCUGA
rnacentral:rRNA from 1 species